UACAGAGGUGGCAAGCGUUGUUCGGAAUUACUGGGCGUAAAGGGCGCGUAGGCGGUCAUGUAAGUCUCGUGUGAAAUCCCUCGGCUUAACUGAGGAACUGCACGGGAUACUGCAUGACUUGAGGUCGGGAGAGGGAAGCGGAAUUCCGGGUGUAGCGGUGAAAUGCGUAGAUAUCCGGAGGAACACCGGUGGCGAAGGCGGCUUCCUGGACCGACUCUGACGCUGAGGCGCGAAAGCUAGGGGAGCAAACAGG
rnacentral:rRNA from 1 species